rnacentral:rRNA from 1 species
GAUAAGCCAUGCAAGUUGAAUGGGAUACCUAAAUUUUCCAUAGCAAACUGCUCAGUAACACAUGAUCAACUUGCCCUAUGGAGAAAAAUAACCUCGGGAAACUGAGGAUAAUAUUUCAUAGUUGAAUAGGCUUGGAAAAGUUUUUCAAUGAAAAGGAAAAGAUAAAUGGAUCUUUUCUGCCAUAGGAUAGGAUCGUGGUCGAUUAUGGUAGUUGGUGAGGUAACGGCUCACCAAGCCUAUAAUCGAUACGGGCCAUGAGAGCGGGAGCCCCGAGAUGGGCACUGAGACACCGACCCAGACCCUACGAGGCGCAGCAGGUGCGAGACCUCCACAAUGCACGAAAGUGCGACGGGGCUACCCCAAG